rnacentral:rRNA from 1 species
GACGAACGCUGGCGGCGUGCUUAACACAUGCAAGUCGAACGGAAAGGCCCUGCUUUUGUUGGGUUCUCGAUUGGCGAACGGGUGAGUAACACGUGAGUAUCCUGCCCUUGACUUUCGGAUAACUUCAGGAAACUGGGGCUAAUACCCGAUAUGAUCUCCUGCUGCAUGUUGUGCGUUGGAAAGUUUCGGCGGUUGGGGAUGGACUCGCGGCUUAUCAGCUUGUUUGUCGGGUAGUUGCUUACCAAGGCUUUGACGGGUAGCCGGCCUGAGAGGGUGACCGGCCACAUGGGGACUGAGAUACGGACCAGAAUGCUACGGGAGGCAGCAGUGGGGAAUAUUGCACAAUGGGCGGAAGCCUGAUGCAGCAACGCCGCGUGCGGGAUGACGGCCUUCGGGUUGUAAACAGAUUUCGAAGGUGACGAAGAGUGAGUGACGGUAAUGGGUAAAGAAGCACCGGCUAACUACGUG